UACGGGGGGAGCAAGCGUUGUUCGGAUUUACUGGGCGUAAAGGGCGCGUAGGCGGGCGCAACAAGUCACGUUGUGAAAUCUCCGGGCUUAACCCGGAGCGGUCAAGUGAUACUGUCGUGCUAGAGUGCGGAAGGGCUACUGGAAUUCUCGGUGUAGCGGUGAAAUGCGUAGAUAUCGAGAGGAACACCUGCGGCGAAGGCGGGUAGCUGGGCCGACACUGACGCUGAGGCGACGAAAGCCAGGGGACGCAAACGGG
rnacentral:rRNA from 1 species